CGAGGCUGAACGCUGAUGAACAAGCCGGAAUAGGGAGUCGCAGGCUUGGAAAGCGUGUUGGGAGCAAUCCCUCAGGGGUUCGAAUCCCCUAUCCUCAACCA
rnacentral:tRNA from 1 species